rnacentral:rRNA from 1 species
GAUUAACGCUGGCGGCGUGCAUAACACAUGCAAGUCGAACGAUGAAACUUUAAUGAACCCUUCGGGGAGAAUUAAAGCGGAUUAGUGGCGAACAGGUGAGUAACGCGUGAGUAACCUGCCUUACACAAGGGGAUAGCCUUUGGAAACGAAGAAUAAUACCCUAUAAAACCAUAAAAGCACAUGCAAUUAUGGUCAAAGUGAUAGCGGUGUAAGAUGGACUUGCGUCUGAUUAGCUAGUUGGUGAGAUAAAAGCCCACCAAGGCAACGAUCAGUAGCCGGCUUGAGAGAGUGUACGGCCACAUUGGGACUGAGACGCGGCCCAGACUCCUACGGGAGGCAGCAGUGGGGAAUUUUGCACAAUGGGGGAAACCCUGAUGCAGCGACGCCGCGUGAUUGAGAAGGCCUUCGGGUUGUAAAAAUCUUUUGUAUAGGAAGAAGAUGACAGUACUAUACGAAUAAGGUCCGGCUAAUUACGUG